UAAGGAAUAUUGGUCAAUGGACGGAAGCCUGAACCAGCCAUGCCGCGUGGAGGAUGAAGGCUCUCUGGGUUGUAAACUUCUUUUACUUGGGACGAAACACUCGUUAUCUAGACAGCUUGACGGUACCAGAUGAAUAAGCACCGGCUAACUCCGUGCCAGCAGCCGCGGUAAUACGGAGGGUGCAAGCGUUAUCCGGAUUCACUGGGUUUAAAGGGUGCGUAGGCGGAUUUGUAAGUCCGUGGUGAAAUCCCUAAGCUUAACUUGGAAAUUGCCGUGGAUACUAGAUGUCUUGAAUAUUGUGGGGGUUAGCGGAAUAUGUCAUGUAGCGGUGAAAUGCUUAGAUAUGACAUAGAACACCAAUUGCGAAGGCAGCGGGCUACACAACAAUUGACGCUGAGGCACGAAAGCGUGGGGAUCAAACA
rnacentral:rRNA from 1 species